GGCCAGUUAGCUCAGUUGGUUGAGCGUGGUGCUGAUAACACCAAGGUCACGGGUUGGAUCCCCGUUCGGUCCC
rnacentral:tRNA from 1 species